rnacentral:rRNA from 1 species
UACGGGGGGAGCAAGCGUUGUUCGGAUUUACUGGGCGUAAAGGGCGCGUAGGCGGCCACGACAAGUCACUUGUGAAAUCUCCGGGCUUAACUCGGAACGGUCAAGUGAUACUGUCGGGCUAGAGUGCAGAAGGGGCAACUGGAAUUCUCGGUGUAGCGGUGAAAUGCGUAGAUAUCGGAAGGAACAUCAGUGGCGAAAGCGGCUUCCUGGUCCAGCACCGACGUUCAGGCACGAAAGCGUGGGGAGCAAACAGG